CUUGGAGAAGAGCUGGCAGUCGAAGGCACUGUUCGAUUUCCAAGACGAUGAUACUCGUCAUACCAAUAGAAUCCCUUCCAAUGAUCCCCACCCAAUGGGCAUUUGUAGUACAAUCGGUCGGGGUUUCGUGAUCCAUAGCCUGUGCACUUGAGCAUCAUGUUUCCAUUGCCACAACUACAUGGAGGGGUUAGUGUUGAUACUUUGGAAGCGGCGUCCAUCCUACCAAUGAGACACACAACAAAUUCAAUGUUAUUUAAGAUGGAAUGUAUAGCAACCACUGAGAAAGAAUAGAAAACAGCAGCAACAAUUACAAACACAUGAAAAAUAUUGAAUUUGUAUCAAGUAUGACAACCACGAACCUAAUUAUUAUUCAAAUACUGGAGCCACAUCGUUUCAGCCAAGGCAUUCCUCGCCGCAUUCCAUUGGGGAGAACAAUCAACGGUGACUAUGAAUUUAUCAUGUGCUGCAUCUAUGCCUGCCCCGUUCUCUUGAGUUAUAGCGUUGAGCUGUUGUUCUAUGUGGUCGAUCGGCAUUUCCAUCCGAACAAAAUUGUUGAGUAGAAAUGCAACCAUUAUGAGUCUAUUUUGAACCCGGAUUGGAUAAAAUGACGGAGAUCGAAGAAUACCCCAUCUCAUCGUCAAGAUGCCAAAUGCUCGCUCUAUCGUGUUUCUUGCCUUACUAUGUCUCAAAUUAAACAGUUCUUGUUUAUUUUGUGGUCGUGCAGCGUUCGAACCUCAUUCUUUUAAAUGGUAUCUAACACCUUUGAAAGGAGUUAGAAAAUCAUCACUAUUCGUGUAACCGUUUUCAUACAAAUAGUAUUCCCCUAUCAACGUAUCAAUCAUGUUAAAAUAUCAAUUCAUCUUCAUGUAAUGAUUUAAACAUAUCUAAGUAAUGAAUAUAUUAGAUAAUAGCUUAUACCCUUUAGGACCUUAAGGCCAUGAGGUCUAUUUAUGGCAUCCCGUAAGAUUCGAGAGUCCGCUGCUGAUCCUUCCCAAUCGGUGAGGACAUAACUGAAAUUCAAAUGUCGAUCACAUACGCCUAGAACAUUUGUUGAUAUUUGCCCUUUCCUUGUUCUAUAUCGGGUUUAUCCUCGUUGCCAACCAUGACACUUACAUAAGUGUCUCCAAGGCCCCUAAACGGCCUUAUGUACCAGUCAUAACUUGAAUUAGUUAACAAUACCAAGAUAUUUGAAUUUUAUUCGUUGUAAUUAAUAUUGUUACAUAUUAUUUGUUUACCUCAUUUUUUGUUGAUAUUUAUGGAUGUUUUGUGCACUUUCGAGCAUGCUCUGUGCUUUUUAGUAUCAUUUCAUACUUGCUCGAUUGUUUUCCAUGCACCUGUGUUGUCCUUGCUGGUUGGGUGUUCUCGGGCAUUUUGGGAAGCGUUUGAGGCUGUUUCGGAGGAUUUUAGAGCAGCCACCGCUCUCCGCCUCGUGCUGCCCGCCCGCUUGCAAUUGGUGAAAAGUCGCGAAUGGGGUAGGCGGCGGCGCCGUGGAGCGGCUGCCGCCGCCCGCGCGAAACCGGAAGUUAAGAUUUCUGGGUUUUAAAACCCAUUUUUUAGGGUUUCAGCCCCCAUUCUCGACCCAGCCAGCCCCCAGCUGCGUUUUUACUAUGUUUUCUUAUAUUUUUUUAUAGAGAGAAACACAUUAGAAACUAUUAGAUUAUGCUAGAUCGUCGUUUACUUGAAUUGGUUGUAAGUACUAUCUUUUGAUUUACUAGUUUCUACAAGCUUUCUUGGUUGUUUAUUUGCCUAGAUGAAUGAGCAUAUUAGAUAAUGGUAUUUGAUGUUUAUUUAUGCUUUUGACAAUUCCAUCGCGUAGUUAACGUAGUUAGAUCGUUGUUUAAUCCAUUCUUGAAUUCUCCGUUGGUAGUGUAGUAGAUUUCAUCAACACGUUCUUUAGGAUUAAUGGUUAUUGGUGUUCUUAUCAAUUUGGAUGCUUGUUCUUCUAUCUUGCCUAGAUAAUUGUUGAUUUAUGUGUUGGAUUAAAUUAUCACUUCUAGCUUGUUAGAUCAUAGCCUAGUUCUCUAUGUUUCCUUACUACGUUCUUCCCUGCUUUCUAUCUAUUGUCUAGUUAACUUUAUAUGCUUAUUUCAAUUACGCUUUAGUUAAUUGGUGAGAGAGUGUCAGACUCAAUCUUCCGAUUAGAGUGUUUAGGUUUAUUUCAUGUUUUAUGUGUGCAGCGUAAUCAGAGCCCUGUUUAGCCUUCCUUGUGAGACGACUUGGGUUAGCUUACUACAAUAGGAAGACCUCGUACGAUUGCGAGUCAAUCCCUUAGGUGUUUUGGGUUGAGUCAUUAUUCUAUGUGUACCUUAAACCACCGCCAUCGUGGGUCAGUGAAACCUUCAGGAACAGCCUCAGGUUUGGCUAAGAAUAAAUCAUGUGUCUGUAUAAUCGCCCCUAACACCGCAUGUACAUAAUGCAAUAUCAUUUGGCCGGAUCUCCAAAAGUCAAAUCUGACUUCUCUAUUUUUUUUAUGAUGCACUGUAAAAUCACACAAAGCCUAGCAAAAGUUCUACGGUCCAUAUGAAGGUUGGAAAUACAGUCUGCAUCAUUUACACCAACCAAUCGACGUAAAUGUUUUUCUUGUUCGGGCAUUUUACUUAUUAUCUCGUAUUUUAGGGCUCUUUCACCACGCUUUCUUUUUCUUAGUCUAGCCUUAACAUAAUAUGCAAAUAACAGCGCCACUUGUAUGACGUGAUCACGCAAAAUCUCUUGCAACAACACGAAGCAUAUGUCACGCACACGACUACUUUCCCUCCCCGACAUUUCAGAACACAAGUACAGAACUUGGCAGGUAUGUGAAUAAUCCUAGUUGCAAAUAAACAGUUGCACUGUCAAGCCACAUGUAAUAACUAGAACAGAAAAAUAACAGCAUUCGUAGACAACAUCGCAUAUAUAUACACAGAGAACUAAUGUUAACAAACACAAAAUUCGUGACAGACAACAAUGAUCAUUAAUAUAGUUGUUCGCCAAUGAAUAACUAGGGCAUGGAACAAAAAAAGUACAACAAAUCAACAAGACUCAGUCAAUUUCAUAAAGCUAGAUAAAAUAUACAACAAUUAGAGUUAUUGAACAGAGGAAAUGAACAAGAAUGGCAGCAUGCCCAAUUUUUAUUUUCCUUUUCCCUUUCCAUCAUGCAGUUCCAGCACAAGAUACAUGAAAAUUAAAAUUCAUUCCAUUCAGAAUAACCCAUAUAAACAUAUAUUGAUUUUAUUGAGUUAGCCAUCUACCUUUUUGACAAAUUAUGGUUUCCAUAUAUACAGCUGAAUAAUACAAGAAGAUCUUGCUAUUGAGCACAUGGUGAUAAGAAUACCGAAACAGAGAAAAGUACAUAGGAGCAUUAAGUUUUCAUGCUAGAAUCGACCUGAAGAAAACACGGUCUCCACAAAUUCAAAUGAACAUCAAUGCCUAACUAGGGCAUGGAACAAAAAAGGCACAACAAAUCAACAAGACUCGGUCGUUUUCAUAUAAUCACCACACGAGACAAUCACAGGUGGCUCAGGUAGCUCUUCACAAAAUCACAAACACUAUGCUCCACAAAUCACAUAUAUUUACAAGUUAUCUGAGCCAAGAAACUAACCUAUGUUGUCCCACCCUUCGCUCUGUUUCUCUUUCGGUUUCCCUAUAUUUGUGUUCAUAAAAGGAAGGAAAUUUCAAAUUAAUGAAGUCGGUAACAUAGUCUUAUAGAUAGCUCAAACAAUCAAGAUAGAUAAUUUUAUAAGAUAAAUCAGAGCAGAUAUUUCGAAUUCAAUAAUGCGAAGAGUUUUUUUGCCCAAUUAUCGCUGAAACAUUUCAUAGGGAACAAGUUCUUCAAUCGCAGUAACUUUUUUGCCCAAUUAUCACUCUGUAAUUUGAUUGCACACAGGAAUUCAAACUAUAUAUUACUAUACAAUAAUCUCCUAAUAAAUUUCUAGGGCACACAAGAAUGCGAAGAAUUCAGUAAAUAUUUUUUAAGAAGAAGUGCGCAAUACACAAAUUCAUUCACAAUGCUUUUAUUUCAUACAUUAGAAUCGCGCAGCGAUUUCCUGGGGCACAAGAAUUCAAUCGGAGUGGAUUUUGCAACACAAGUUUUCGCACAUACCCGAUAAUGACAAUGCAAUCCAAAUCAACGAACCCUAAAAUCAUGAGCGAAUAAUAGAACCCUAGAAUCAACGAACCCCAAAUCAUGAACCCUAGAACAACGAACCCACACGACGCAAAUUCAGUUUGGGCAGUAAAUAGAACGAAAAAAAUCGAAAGAAUAAACCCAACAACUCUGGUUCUUAUCUGUUCGAAGUUGAAGCUUUUCAAUUUUUUUCCCUGAGUUCUUCAGAAUGCCGAUGGAAGGAGGAAUAACUGAGGAAGAAGAGGGCUAGGUCUAAUUU
rnacentral:lncRNA from 1 species